UUCCCUAGAGAAUAAGCCAGCAACAUGCUUUGCAUCAUCCCCAAACAAUUAUUCUUGACUACAAAACUUGUGAACAUCGUGCUUCAUCUUCGGUCAAAAGAAGCGUUCAUGCAACAUAUUAUAAGUUUUAUUAAUCCCAAAAUGUCCCAUUAAGCCACCACCAAAUUAGACUAGCUCCAAAGAUAAACUAAUAACCGUUGCUAAACCUAUCAAGCCCUUUCCCUCCAUGGUGUCUGAAAGCACAUUAGCGAGUGUUAGUCCAUUGAGACAGGCCUUGGCAAUACAUGAGCCCUUAGGUGGGCCCUUGUGCUCGUGGUUCGAUCGUGCGUAGGAAAGUACUAUACAUCCAACCUUGCCAGAAAUAGAAAGCUACCUAAGGCAAUGCCAUUAGAACCUAUCAUGUCACAUGUGUAAAGGUUAGGCACCAAGGUACGAAUGGCAACGCCGUGACGAAAGCCAUGGAACUAGAGAUUUUAUUAGGAACGUGGGAGCCCAUGACACCUUUUAUGAAAUAUUUUAUAUGAAUAUUUUGCAUACACAUUAAUCA